rnacentral:rRNA from 1 species
UACGUAGGGUGCAAGCGUUGUCCGGAUUUAUUGGGCGUAAAGAGCGUGUAGGCGGCCAGGUAGGUCCGUUGUGAAAACUCGAGGCUCAACCUCGAGACGUCGGCGGAAACCCUCUGGCUAGAGUCCGGAAGAGGAGAGUGGAAUUCCUGGUGUAGCGGUGAAAUGCGCAGAUAUCAGGAAGAACACCCGUGGCGAAGGCGGCUCUCUGGGACGGUACUGACGCUGAGACGCGAAAGCGUGGGGAGCGAACAGG